rnacentral:lncRNA from 1 species
GCACCUCACCUAAUAGUUAUUGGUAAUAUGAAUAAAAACACCGAUGCAUGGACAACUUUUUAUCCAGAUGCUUCUCUAAGCUUGUUGCAGCCACUUGGUCUCUAAGUCAUGUGGGCUCAGUUAACAGUUAUUGGCCAUACUUCUUAGUUUAGCCAGACCCACCAUUCACAAGCAGGUGCAAAGCCGUCAUUUAGUCCCUUACCUAACAGUUAUUAGGCUCAACCCC